ensembl:lncRNA
AUUUUUUUGUUCUGCCAUCAUCUGAGUGCACAAGUUGCUCAACCUGAACGAAGAUCAAGUGGUCAACCAGAUACAAAAGCAAACACUGGUGUUUCUGCAUUCUUUGGUCCAAAUUUGGCUCCCAAGUUGCCUGUCUAUUUUUUUAAGGAGGAGUCACGAUGCAAGCUCCAAAAUCCAGCGGAGAGCUGGGCCCGGAAGACAGAGCAUGAGAUAGAGCAGCGUCAUCUCCGGCUCCUCUUCCGGAUCCAUAAGAGAUCCCCCGGACCUGAGACGGCUAGCUGCCUCGGCAGUGGCUGGCCAAGAUCCGCGAGGCUCUGAAACCCAACUUGCUUUGGCUUCUGAGAAGAGAGCAAGACAUGAGCGGAGCUGCCUAAUGGCCAGUUUCACCGCUGUGUCGAUGCAUCAAGAAAAGCACUGUAUUUUGUGUAACGGGGAAUGGAAUAGAUAUUCCAAGAUAAUGCAGGUUAUUUUAUAUGUAUUUUGCCAACUUACCACUUAUUUUUAAAUGGGUCUUCACACUGUCCUCCAGCUUAAACACCUCCAGGGCUUUGAUACUGAAGCUCUCAUCUAUGCAAGAUAAAGAUUUCAGUGAAUCAUGAGAAACAACUAUAAGAGGCAAUUCCUCAGAGAAGCACCUGGCAUUUUCUCUGUCACAUGAGAAAGCUGACCUACAAACACAUGCAUAUGAAGAUCAAACAGGGCAUAUAGGACACUGAGAAACAUUCAGAUUAAGCUAAUUUUCACUUGAAAUUUUACCUUUGGCUGGGAGAACAGUACACCCUCUGAUGGACCAUGACUUCUCAGGCUUAAAGACGUGAUCCUGUUCUUUGCAAUGGCCUUGAUGGUUUUGCUGUGUGACAGUAAAGUGUGCUGUUAGUAAGAUAACACAUGCCUAUCUUUAAGAUUGACAUAACCUUUCAAAAAUGUUAAGCUAAUAUAUUGUACAGUCCUUGUUGCUGGGGUGAUACCCUUCCCACUCUCACCUCCUAGGUUAAUAACAAUCAAAAUUUACAUCUGGACUUCUAUAAAGCUACUUUGUCAAAAUGUCUGUUGAGUCCUAGUUGAUGCUCUGAAAGUGCAGACACUCCUUGAAGGUUUCAACUUUUGGGCAGGUUUCACAUCAGAAGGUGGUGGAUUUUCAUUCAACUUCUGAGACUCGAAUGGCACAAAUGAAA